rnacentral:rRNA from 1 species
GGGGACAACCCGCCGAAAGGCGGGCUAAACCCGCGUACAUGCCACCGGGGCAUCCCGGAGGCAGGAAAGGCUUCGGCCGGACAGGGAUGGGCAUGCGGCGCAUUAGGCAGUAGGCGGGGUAACGGCCCACCUAACCGACGAUGCGUAGGGGUUCUGAGAGGAAGGUCCCCCACACUGGUACUGAGACACGGACCAGACUCCUACGGGAGGCAGCAGUGAGGAAUAUUGGUCAAUGGCCGGGAGACUGAACCAGCCAAGCCGUGUGAGGGAGGAAGGUACAGAGUAUCGUAAACCUCUUUUGUCAGGGAACAAAGACUGGGACGCGUCCCCGGAUGAGUGUACCUGAAGAAAAAGCAUCGGCUAACUCCGUGCCAGCAGCCGCGGUAAUACGGAGGAUGCGAGCGUUAUCCGGAUUUAUUGGGUUUAAAGGGUGCGCAGGCGGUCUGUUAAGUCAGCGGUCAAAGCCCGGGGCUCAACCCCGGCCCGCCGUUGAAACUGGCAGUCUCGAGUUGGAGAGAAGUAUGCGGAAUGCGCGGUGUAGCGGUGAAAUGCAUAGAUAUCGCGCAGAACUCCGAUUGCGAAGGCAGCAUGCCGGCUCCACACUGACGCUGAGGCACGAAAGCGUGGGUAUCGAACAGGAUUAGAUACCCUGGUAGUCCACGCAGUAAACGAUGAA